GCCGGAGCAGCCCGGCCCCCUGGCCUUCGCCGCGCCGCCACCUCCAGGUUAACACCUCAUCCAUCAGAUCUGAUCCCAACCUCGACUGGCAUUCCAGGUUCCCCAGGCCACAAGACUUCCCCAGUCUGUACUGGGAUUGUCCAAAGCCCUGCGGGUUCUUCUGUGUUGAAACUGUUGCCUGGACAUCUCCUGAGAUGGUGCAGUUACCACCGACCUCCAGUUUAACUUCCCGAUAGAGGGCAACUUGCAUAUUUCUCCUAAGAACUUCGAAGAAGCUGGACAGCCUGUUUUCAGACUUAGAGAAAAGGGAAACCCAAGGUUGUUUCUUGAAAUGUGGUGACUUGGAAGAGUUGUUAUUAUUCUGGGGAUACUAAGCCUUUGUGAUACACACAUUUGAAAAUAUCUCCCGGAGACCUGAGCUAAGAUGGCAGAGGAAUAGGACGGGGAGACCACUUU